AACGAACGCUGGCGGCAUGCCUAACACAUGCAAGUCGAACGAGACCUUCGGGUCUAGUGGCGCACGGGUGCGUAACGCGUGGGAACCUGCCCUUAGGUUCGGAAUAACUCCCCGAAAGGGGUGCUAAUACCGGAUAAUGUCUUCGGACCAAAGAUUUAUCGCCUUUGGAUGGGCCCGCGUUGGAUUAGCUAGUUGGUAGGGUAAAAGCCUACCAAGGCGACGAUCCAUAGCUGGUCUGAGAGGAUGAUCAGCCACACUGGGACUGAGACACGGCCCAGACUCCUACGGGAGGCAGCAGUGGGGAAUAUUGGACAAUGGGCGCAAGCCUGACACAGCAAUGCCGCGUGAGUGAUGAAGGCCUUAGGGUUGUAAAGCUCUUUUACCCGGGAUGAUAAUGACAGUACCGGGAGAAUAAGCUCCGGCUAACUCCGUG
rnacentral:rRNA from 1 species